UACAGAGGUGCCAAGCGUUGUUCGGAUUUAUUGGGCGUAAAGGGUGCGUAGGUGGUGAUGUAAGUCGGGUGUGAAAUACCGGAGCCUAACUCCGGAACGGCAUUCGAAACUGCAUCGCUCGAGGUCUGGAGAGGUGACUGGAAUUCUCGGUGUAGCAGUGAAAUGCGUAGAUAUCGAGAGGAACACCAGAGGCGAAGGCGAGUCACUGGACAGAACCUGACACUGAGGCACGAAAGCUAGGGGAGCAAACGGG
rnacentral:rRNA from 1 species